rnacentral:rRNA from 1 species
CUACGGGGGGCUGCAGUGGGGAAUAUUGCACAAUGGAGGAAACUCUGAUGCAGCAACGCCGCGUAGAGGAUGACACUUUUCGGAGCGUAAACUCCUUUUAUAUAGGAAGAAGAUGACGGUACUAUAUGAAUAAGCGCCGGCUAACUCCGUGCCAGCAGCCGCGGUAAUACGGAGGGCGCAAGCGUUACUCGGAAUCACUGGGCGUAAAGAGCGUGUAGGCGGAUUAAAAAGUCAGAAGUGAAAUCCUAUAGCUUAACUAUAGAACUGCUUCUGAAACUCUUAAUCUAGAAUAUGGGAGAGGUAGAUGGAAUUUCUGGUGUAGGGGUAAAAUCCGUAGAGAUCAGAAGGAAUACCGAUUGCGAAGGCGAUCUACUAGAACAUUAUUGACGCUGAGACGCGAAAGCGUGGGGAGCAAACAGGAUUAGAUACCCCCGUAGUC